rnacentral:rRNA from 1 species
UACGUAGGGUGCAAGCGUUGUCCGGAUUUACUGGGCGUAAAGGGUGCGUAGGCGGAUGUUUAAGUGAGAUGUGAAAUCGCCGGGCUUAACCUGGAGGCUGCAUUCCAAACUGGAUGUCUAGAGUGCAGGAGAGGAAAGCGGAAUGCCUGGUGUAGCGGUGAAAUGCGUAGAGAUCAGGAAGAACACCAGUGGCGAAGGCGGCCUGCUGGCCUGUAACUGACGCUGAGGCACGAAAGCGUGGGUAGCAAACAGG